GCCNAAUUGGGACNCAAUUAUCUGACGCUGGAGUCUGUCGAUAAGUCNGUUGUGUGGACGCAUACAGGUAUGUAGUAUACCCCUGGUUAGUCCAACGCCUGUUAAACGGAUGUAAUGUGCCAGCCUGUUUGGUGUGUUGCUUUGCACACGCNAGGUAGCGCAGCUAACGCUUUGANCAUUCCGCCUGGUGGAUGUACUGGUCGCAAGAUUAAAACUCAAAGGAAUUGACGGGGGCCNCGCACAAGCGUUGGAGCAUGUGGUUUAAUUCGAAGCAACGCGUCAGAACCUUUACCAUCCUUUGACAUGGCUUGUUACCCAGAGAGAUCUGGGGUCCCCUUCGGGGGCAGCGCACACAGGUGCUGCAUGGCUGUCGUCAGCUCGUGUCGUGAGAUGUUGGGUUAAGUCCCGCAACGAGCGCAACCCACGUCNUUAGUNGCCAUCAUUCAGUUGGGCACUUCUAGGGAGACUGCCCGGUGAUAAGCCGUCGAGGAAGGUUGUGGAUGACGUCAAGUCCUCAUGGCCACUUACGGGAUGGGCUACACACGUGCUACAAUGGCGGUGACAGUGGGACGUCGAAGGAGCGAUCUGGACGCAAAUCCCCAAAAGCCGUCUCAGUUCGGAUUGCACUCUGCAAACUCGAGUGCAUGAAGCCCUGAUAUCAGCAUAUAAUGCUG
rnacentral:rRNA from 1 species